GGAUUUCUCUGUGUAGCCCUGGCUAUCCUGGAACUCACUCUGUAGACCAGGCUGGCCUUGAACUCACAGAGAUCCACCUGCCUCUGCCUCCCGAGUGCUGGGAUUAAAGGCGUGCGCCACCAACGCCCG
ensembl:miRNA